UAUUUAUGAAAAGGUAUAAUGCAUUAAAGUGUACAUCAUGAAUGCCUUUAUAAUGUAUAAUGAUUCUUAGGAGUUUGUUGAAAGGUUUGCUCCUCUUGAAUCCCAGUUUCUGCUCUAUUUAUUAGUUUGAUUUAUGUGUUUAUUUACCACCAUCACAUCUGAAAACUCAAAAUGCUGUUGAGAAAUCUUUUGGGUAGAAUAAGAUGAUCUUAAUUGUGUGAAGUCCAGGAGUUGUUUUGAGAGGGCCGUUCCUCAUGAGCUGCUGUCAGAGAUCUGGAUGUGUUUCUGUGUGUUCUGAUGGACGCAGUGGUGACCCUCAGCAGACUGUGUCUAAUCAAUGAAAACAUCAGAGAUUGAGUCCAGCUGGGAAAUGUGGGUCAGAGAUGCUGGAGCGUUCAGUAGAGCCGCUAUCAGAGUUCUUUCUGACUCACAUUUGGCUCUGCUCGUGACAUUCAGCCUGCGAUCGGAGCUGACAGUCGUGUUUUGUUCUGCCGUUGUUGUUGUGUUCUGUUGUCAUGUGUUCAGCGACUGGACCGAGUCCCAACAGAAUCUGCUCACAAACUGAAGAACGGAUUGUAUGUUAAAGCUGCAUUUCUCUCUCUCUCUUUGAGUGAAGGUGUAACACUUAUUCAUGUGCUUCUGAUCUGCUGCUUGCUUCUCUAAUGCUGCAGGAAUGAGAGUGUGUGUGUGUGUGUGUGUGUGUGUGUCUGUGUGUGGGUGUGUGUGUGUGUGUAAGUGUGUGUGUGUAUGUGUGUGUGUGUGUGUGUGUGUGUGUGUGUGUGACCAAAUGUAGCCACAAGGAUAGUAAAACUUUACAUUUUUGACAUUGUGGGGUCUGGCCUGCGGUCCCCACGCAUUGGAAAAAAAAUUUAAAAUAGUAAAUGAUGUUUAUCUGAAAGUGUAAGAAUGCAGACAGGUUUUCUGUAAAGGGGUAGGUUUAGGGUCAGGGGAUAGAAAAUAUUGUUUGGUCAAUAUAGAAGUAAUAGAAGUUUAUGGAAAGUCUUCACAAUUCACAGAAACAAACAUGUAUUAGUGUUCUGGUUCGGUCUGGUGUGGUGUGUGUGUUCUGGUCUGGUGUGUGUGUGUGUGUUCUGGUCUGGUCUGGUCCGGUCUGGUCUGGUGUGUGUGUAUUCUGUUCCAGUCUGGUCUGCUGUGUGUGUGUGUUCUGGUCUGUUCCGGUCUGGUCUGGUUUGGUGUGUGUGUGUUCUGGUCUGGUCUGGUGUGUGUGUGUUCUGGUCUGGCCCGGUCUGGUCUGGUCUGGUCUGGUGUGUGUUCUGGUCUGGUCUGGUGUGUGUGUGUUCUGGUCUGGUCUGGUGUGUAUGUGUUCUGGUCUGGUCCGGUCUGGUCUGGUGUGUGUGUGUGUGUUCUGGUCUGGUCCGGUCUGGUCUGGUGUGUGUGUGUUCUGCAGAGGUUCUCGUGGUGGAGCUGCUCAGGGAAAGUCUGGCUCUGUUCCUGCUUCCACGUGGCACUGACCGAGCGUCCAGAGCUCUUCUGACUCUGUGACUCAUUCAGUCUCUGUUUUUAUAAGAGACGCCAGUUUCCAGACGGAGCAUUACACAGCCUUCAGGAAGACUUCUGAAAAUGAACAUUUACAUAGCAGUGCUGCUUUACCUGUAUUUAUAAACUAUUAUAAUACUUGUUUUGAGUUAUUUUAGUGAAAGUGCUUGUGUAUAUUAUGGGAUGUAUAUGGAGUAUAUAUUAUGGUGUUCUAGUGCACAGCUAGUCAUAAAAAGUUCAGUUCAGUUUGUCACACCUAAAAUGCUGCAUGUUUUGAAUCUGAAUGUUUUGAGACAGUGCAGAAUGAUGCACAAUGGCUCGAGUUCAUAACGCUGAAUAAACAAAAGUGAUUCACUGUGAUUCUGUACUUU
ensembl:lncRNA